UUUGCCAAAAUUUGCAAGAACACUGAAACUUGGAUAAAAUGUGUCAAACCUACAAAUAAGCAAUCUAAAUUUGUCAUUUAAGAAGAGCUUAGUUUCAGUUUUUGCAAAAAACCAUGAGACCGUAAUGAGUAGGAACUAGAAUGAAAUUGAAUGGAUUCGUACAACUGCUAUUUAAAUACAGUGUUUACUUUUGAAAUUGGAGCAUGAAUCCACACCUAGCUAUUGCUUUUCAUUUGACUUUUCUAGAUAAAUUUUCAGUUUUCAUCUAUUCAUGAAAGCAGUCUGCUUGCUAUUCCAUCAGUCUUGCUCUGCCGUUCAUCUCUGAGCAUCCUAAAACACUGUGAUCUUGCCAUAAGUGUUGUCCUAUGCCACUCGACUGUGUCCACUCAUGGGACCCUCAACUCUCCUGCUCUCAACUCUCAGCAGGAACCAAAUUAACUUAGUAUUUUGUGCUUGGGUUCACUUUAACAGCAUAAGGAGUGAGACAGUGCUGUUUGGAGGACGAACAGCAGCUACAGUACAUUGUAGGAAGGGAAAGAGGCAGCUGAGGCGCUCAUGAGCUCCUCGGAAUGCCAGGUGAUUCUCUUCCUUGUCUUUGGUGAGUGUUGGUAAGGAGGCCCCUAGACAAAAUGCAGCCAAGGUUGUCGAAGAUCUGGCGGUCUGUGGGAUAGGCUGUGGCAUGCAGAAGGCUUACUAACAAAGUUCUCGCUCCACCUUUAAAAAAAAAAAAGAAAGCUCUUCUACAUUUCACUGAAAUGGAAAUGAGUAAAAUUGGGGGGAGGGGUGUCUGAUUCGGUUUGAUUCAUUUGAUGGAUUUGAUUCCAAGUUUUGAUUUGUAGAUUUAAUAAGAUAGUGGCCUAAUUUUACCGGAGUCUGUUAGAGAUAGUAGAAUAAAAUAGCAAAUAAGAGAGUUUAGCUUUUUUUUUUGAAAGUUUAGUAGAUAGUCUAAUCAAACUAUAAACUGUAAAUGUGAUUAUAAAUACAGGCUCUGAGUACCAAGUUACUAAUUGGUGCCAUGUUUUCGUUUUUCUUAUUGUUAGUUUUUAAAGUUUUAAUUGUACUACAUUUUUAUAUCUAAGUAUCCAAUGAGUUUAAUUUUGAAGGAGAGUUGGAGAAGGUUUAAGGUUUUACCACUUCUAUUCAGACCAUCUCUGUAGGCUCUAAACUGAGACCAUAGCGUAAUUCAGCAUAGAUACAGUCCAGAACUACCCUCUACAAUCCACAGUUCAAGAACAAAUUUAGCGUUGUACACAAAUGAUAGAUGUCAGCUAAAUAUAUUUAGUUGUUGCCUUGGCAACAAAACUACAACAUGGCUACCUUUAGACAUUUAUGCAUGUAAAACUUUUAUGUGUAAGCUAUAUGUGGUUCAUGACAGUGCAAACAUAUUGAAGAUACAGCUCAAAACUCAGAAAACUGAUGAUGUUUUUGAAGCCCUGUGUUCCAUAUAUGAAAGCUGAAUUUGUGUCCUCAUGUUAACAUUUGAUUCGAAAAAGAAGUUUAUAACACAUGGAUUCUAGAAUUGGGCUUUAUCGUUUAAAGAAUUGGUUGGGUUGAUAGGGUUAUUCUACAGUAGAACAAGCUCGACAUUGAUAUUGCCUGGCCUUUUUUUCACAACUUUAUUCAAAACUACCUAUUCGUGUAGUAUCUGUAGUUAUAAAAAGAUUAUAUUUUCUGGCUUUAUUCACAAAAACUAUAUGUGAGGAUUAAAGCAUAAGUAAACAUGUUGAGAUUAACCCAUGGUUGUGAAGCCACACAUAAAGAUACUAUAGAAGAGCCCCUGAACAGUGUUUAAGAGACAUAUGCUGCAGUUCCCCGACUGUCCCAGUUAGGGUGCGAAUGUGUGAGACCCAUCUUUUUUUUUUUUUUUUUUUUUUUUUGCACUUAUGUACAUAGUCCAUGAAAGCAAUCCUUGGAGCUUUUGACAAUGUAAGAAGUCUGUGGUAAUAGAGGAGCAUUAGUGAGAGUGCUGUUUGAGGCUCUAAGAAUUAGUGGAAGCAUAGUGUAGCAGUACUGUUGAGGGGGCUUGCUAGCUGGCUACAGCCCACCAGAAGCUCAGACUGCUAACACAUGCCAGAUCCCCCUAACAGCACUGAGUGAGAAUACAAAGCACUUCUUUUCGUAAGGCUACUAGCAAAAGUUAUUUGCUUUUUGAAUUAACUCCCACUGUAAAAACACACACACACGCACACACACACACACACACACACACACACACACACACACACGAAUGCUUAUACUACAUAAUGGAUAAGGUUCCCAGUAGAGAUUUUCUUUUUUCCAAUUAUAGAAAGAAGAGAAACUACUCUGUACAUUACAAGCUAGUUAGUUACUCUCAAAUCUAAUUAAAACAGAUCUCAUCCUUCGUAGUUUAAAAUUAUAUCAGUUAAUGUGGAUUUAAGUGAAAAAUUGUUAAUGUUUUAACUAAACAGAAGUGAAGCAGCCCAAAUCUUAUAGAAGAUGGACCCUGGAAAAUGAUGUCAAUUUAACCUACUCUGCCAGUUCUCACUCCACAUUUGCAGAUAGCCAAGGAGCCUUCUUGUUGUUCUCCAAGGCACUGAGGCUUAGCAAAGUUGGAAGUUUGAAAGGUUAAGGGACAGAUCAUCUCUGGCACUUUGAAUCCUUCCCAUCUUAAGACAGAUGUCUUUCACACUAAGGACCCCAUCCUAGGCUAAGGGUAGUUGUGAAAUGUUGCUUUUCAUACACUGCUAACUCUCUUGGAGGCAUAUAACUAGAUCUGCACCCAUAGGUCAUUAGUACAGCACUUGCCUGGAUGAACAAGGCCCUGGGUUCCAUCCCCAGGACUGCAAAAGG
rnacentral:lncRNA from 1 species